rnacentral:rRNA from 1 species
GGUCGGGUAGAGAAUACCAAGGCGCUUGAGAGAACUCGGGUGAAGGAACUAGGCAAAAUGGUACCGUAACUUCGGGAGAAGGUACGCUCUUGAUGGUGAAGUCCCUCGCGGAUGGAGCUGACGAGAGUCGCAGAUACCAGGUGGCUGCAACUGUUUAUUAAAAACACAGCACUGUGCAAAAUCGUAAGAUGACGUAUACGGUGUGACGCCUGCCCGGUGCCGGAAGGUUAAUUGAUGGGGUUAGACUUCGGUCGAAGCUCUUGAUCGAAGCCCCGGUAAACGGCGGCCGUAACUAUAACGGUCCUAAGGUAGCGAAAUUCCUUGUCGGGUAAGUUCCGACCUGCACGAAUGGCGUAAUGAUGGCCACGCUGUCUCCACCCGAGACUCAGUGAAAUUGAAAUCGCUGUGAAGAUGCAGUGUACCCGCGGCUAGACGGAAAGACCCCGUGAACCUUUACUACAGCUUGGCACUGAACAUUGACCCUACAUGUGUAGGAUAGGUGGGAGGCUUUGAAGCACGUACGCCAGUAUGUGUGGAGCCGUCCUUGAAAUACCACCCUUGUAGUGUUGAUGUUCUAACGUCGACCCCUUAUCGGGGUUGCGGACAGUGCCUGGUGGGUAGUUUGACUGGGGCGGUCUCCUCCCAAAGAGUAACGGAGGAGCACGAAGGUGGGCUAAUCACGGUUGGACAUCGUGAGGUUAGUGCAAUGGCAUAAGCCCGCUUGACUGCGAGAAUGACAAUUCGAGCAGGUGCGAAAGCAGGUCAUAGUGAUCCGGUGGUUCUGAAUGGAAGGGCCAUCGCUCAACGGAUAAAAGGUACUCCGGGGAUAACAGGCUGAUACCGCCCAAGAGUUCAUAUCGACGGCGGUGUUUGGCACCUCGAUGUCGGCUCAUCACAUCCUGGGGCUGAAGUCGGUCCCAAGGGUAUGGCUGUUCGCCAUUUAAAGUGGUACGCGAGCUGGGUUUAGAACGUCGUGAGACAGUUCGGUCCCUAUCUGCCGUGGGCGUUGGAAGAUUGAAGGGGGCUGCUCCUAGUACGAGAGGACCGGAGUGGACGAACCUCUGGUGUUCGGGUUGUGUCGCCAGACGCAUUGCCCGGUAGCUAAGUUCGGAAUCGAUAACCGCUGAAAGCAUCUAAGCGGGAAGCGAGCCCUGAGAUGAGUCUUCCCUGAUACUUUAAGUAUCCUAAAGGGUUGUCGGAGACUACGACGUUGAUAGGUCAGGUGUGUAAGUGCUGUGAGGCAUUGAGCUAACUGAUACUAAUUGCCCGUGAGGCUUAACCAU